rnacentral:rRNA from 1 species
GACGAACCGAGCGAACGUUAUUCGGAAUCACUGGGCUUAAAGCGCGUGUAGGCGGGACGGCACGUCGGUCGCUGAAAGCCCCCGGCUCAACCGGGGAACGGGCGCCGAUACGACCGCCCUCGAGGAACGUAGGGGGACCUGGAACUUCCGGUGGAGCGGUGAAAUGCGUUGAGAUCGGAAGGAACGCCCGUGGCGAAAGCGAGGUCCUGGACGUUUUACUGACGCUGAGACGCGAAAGCCAGGGGAGCGAACGGG